UUAUAAAAGGAGCUGCGACUGUGUACUUGCUUGUAUCGAAUUUUAGGGUUGCCGCCGCCGCCGCUCAUUCAAUGAUAAUAAUCUCUUUAAUUCGUCUCGUUUUACAAAGAAACACGAUGCAAUUAAGAGAAACAAAGGAAUGAUGGUUAACCCAACCAUCGAUUGCGGAUCACUCCGCAACAUGAUUCCUUUCUCUCCUAUGACUGCAGACUCGGGAAGGACAUUAAUCUUGCCCCAGUAAAUGAGCACAGUGGAUAAUACAUGAACUGCAAAAGGUUUCAUCAGCGAGAGUGAAGUGUGCCCAAGUCUGAACACUACAGAAUUUUAGCCAACAGCCAUCAGUGAACUCUUUCAUAGAUAUCCCAAAAGCCACCUCAAAUGUAUGCUUACCUAGAUUAUGACAUAUCAAUCCCACCUUAUGAGAAAAUGCUUUUUUUUGUUGUUGUUGAUUAUGGAAAAGAUAACAACAAAUUAUAUGAUAAAAAAAUUGUGGGUGGGUGGUACUUGUGGAUGGGCAGGAGUGGAGCCACAUCUUUACUAGGCUCUAUGUAACAUAAAAGUUUAAAACCUUUCCGCUAUCAUAUCUGGCUAAUUUAAACAUCAUAAAAGGCAAUAACAAUGUCAAAUUGUCUUGCAAA